rnacentral:tRNA from 1 species
GCGCUCGUAGCUCAGCUGGAUAGAGUACCUGGCUUCGAACCAGGUGGUCGGGAGUUCGAAUCUCUCCGGGCGCGCCA